rnacentral:rRNA from 1 species
GACGAACGCUGGCGGCGUGCUUAACACAUGCAAGUCGAACGAGUGGCGAACGGGUGUGUAACAUGUGGGGGAUCUGCCUUGCCCUUCGGGAUUAGCUUGUGAAACUGGGUAUAAUACCGGAUAGUGCAAGAUGGGUUCGCGGCCUAUCAGCGUGUGGGUGGGGUAUUGGCUACGAAGGCGCGACGGGUAGCCGGCCUGAGAGGGUGUACGGCGACAUUGGGACUGAGAUAGGGCCCAGACGCCUACGGGCGGCAGUGGAGGGGAAUAUUGCGCAAAGGGCGGAAGCCUGAUGCAGCGACGCUGGGUGGGGGAUGAAGGCCUUGGGGUUGUGAACUACUUUCGACAGGGAUGCGGUACCUGUAUAAGAAGCACCGGCUAACUACGUGCCAGGAGCGGCGGUGAUAC